rnacentral:rRNA from 1 species
GUGAGGAAUAUUGGACAAUGGGCGCAAGCCUGAUCCAGCCAUGCCGCGUGCAGGAAGACGCAUCUAUGGUGUGUAAACUGCUUUUGUACGGGAAGAAACACUCCCUCGUGAGGGAGCUUGACGGUACCGUAAGAAUAAGGAUCGGCUAACUCCGUGCCAGCAGCCGCGGUAAUACGGAGGAUCCAAGCGUUAUCCGGAAUCACUGGGUUUAAAGGGUCCGUAGGCGGUUUAAUAAGUCAGUGGUGAAAGCCCAUCGCUCAACGAUGGAACGGCCAUUGAUACUGUUAGACUUGAAUUACAAGGAAGUAACUAGAAUAUGUAGUGUAGCGGCGAAAUGCUUAGAUAUUACAUGGAAUACCAAUUGCGAAGGCAGGUUACUACUUGUGGAUUGACGCUGAUGGACGAAAGCGUGGGGAGCGAACAGGAUUAGAUACCCCGGUAGUCC